ensembl:snRNA U6 U6 spliceosomal RNA
GUGCUCGCUUCAACAGCACAUAUACUAAAAUUGGAACAAUACAGAGAAGAUUAGCAUGGCCCCCCCACAAGCAUGACACACAAAUUCAUGAAGCGUUCCAUAUUUUU